UGCAUUUGUCAUUCAAAAUCGUGGGUCAUGAUGUCGGUGCACUGACCUCGUACAAUGCACAGCUAAUCCCAGGUUGAAGACCGCAGCGUUUAAGGGAAGGACCUCGGACGACUGUCGGAAGGACCUCAGAAGUAUCCUGUGGAAGGAGAGGAGGGUGUCGAACUGUUUGAAUCUGCGUUAAAAUGGAGUGGUGCUGAAAGGGCCGAUAAAAUCAAGAGCAUUAUGCCGUCAAGAACUGCUCAAAAUUACUGCCAUUAACCCGGAGACACAAGUCAGUACGAACCGGAAUUUGUUCCUGGACACGCCGCAGCGUGUCUACUGAAACAUUUCCAAUGGCACCAUGGAUUCACGCCAACAAUAUUUCCAUGCUGUCCACCAGUUCGUGGUACACUUCAUUCUGGAACAAUGUCUACAAAACAAAUACAUAAUUUGAGUAAAAAAAAA